rnacentral:rRNA from 1 species
CAAGUCGAACGGUCCGCUUCGGCGGAUAGUGGCGCACGGGUGCGUAACACGUAUGCAACCUACCUUACAUUGGGGGAUAGCCUUUCGAAAGGGAGAUUAAUACCGCAUAAGACAGUAGCUGGGCAUCCAGUAGCUGUUAAAGAUUUAUCGAUGUAAGCUGGGCAUGCGUCCAAUUAGUUAGUUGGUGAGGUAACGGCUCACCAAGACGAUGAUUGGUAGGGGAACUGAGAGGUCAAUCCCCCACACUGGCACUGAGAUACGGGCCAGACUCCUACGGGAGGCAGCAGUAGGGAAUAUUGGGCAAUGGACGCAAGUCUGACCCAGCCAUGCCGCGUGCAGGAAGAAGGCGUUCUGCGUUGUAAACUGCUUUUAUAUAGGAAGAAACGACCCUUGCGAGGGGCAUUGACGGUAUUAUAUGAAUAAGCACCGGCUAACUCCGUGCCAGCAGCCGCGGUAAUACGGAGGGUGCAAGCGUUGUCCGGAUUUAUUGGGUUUAAAGGGUGCGCAGGUGGUUUAUUAAGUCAGUGGUGAAAGACGGUCGCUCAACGAUUGCAGUGCCAUUGAUACUGAUAGACUUGAGUAAAGUAGAGGUGGGCGGAAUUGAUAGUGUAGCGGUGAAAUGCAUAGAUAUUAUCAAGAACUCCGAUUGCGAAGGCAGCUCACUUGGCUUUUACUGACACUCAUGCACGAAAGUGUGGGUAUCAAACAGGAUUAGAUACCCUGGUAGUCCACACUGUAAACGAUGAUAACUAGGUGUUGGCCGAAUCUGGUCAGUACCACAGCGAAAGCGUUAAGUUAUCCACCUGGGGAGUACGCCGGCAACGGUGAAACUCAAAGGAAUUGACGGG